CACGGAGUUAGCCGGUGCUUAUUCGUAUAGUACCUUCAGCUACUCUCACGAGAGUAGGUUUAUCCCUAUACAAAAGAAGUUUACAACCCAUAGGGCCGUCGUCCUUCACGCGGGAGUGGCUGGAUCAGGCUCUCACCCAUUGUCCAAUAUUCCUCACUGCUGCCUCCCGUAGGAGUCUGGUCCGUGUCUCAGUACCAGUGUGGAGGAUCACCCUCUCAGGCCCCCCUAAAGAUCAUUGACUUGGUGAGCCGUUACCUCACCAACUAUCUAAUCUUGCGCGUGCCCAUCUCUAUCCACCGGAGUUUUCAAUAUCUAAUGAUGCCAUCAAAUAUAUUAUGGGGUAUUAAUCUUCCUUUACGAAAGGCUACUCCCCUCGAUAAAGGUAGGUUGCACACGUGUUCCGCACCGUGCCGCCGCUCUCAAGACUUCCGAAGAAUCUCUACCGCUCGGCUGCAUGUGUUACGGCCUCCCGCUACGCGUUCAUCCUGCGCGAGGAUCGUAAA
rnacentral:rRNA from 1 species